CCCAGGUGAGCCAGAGGAACCCCAGGUGAGCCCCAGGUGAGCCCCAGGUGAGCCAGAGGAACCCCAGGUGAGCCCCAGGUGAGCCAGAGGAACCCCAGGUGAGC